rnacentral:tRNA from 1 species
GGCGGAGUAGCUCAGUCUGGUAAGAGCACGCGGCUCAUAAUCGCGGCGUCGCGGGUUCAAAUCCCGCCUCCGCUACCA